GACUUAAAAGCUUCAGCUAAUUUAGGAAACAAUCUGGUGACCAAAAAGAAUUUUCUCAGGAACGCCACCAGGACAACUUGGCAAUGCCAUAAUUCUUCAAACAGCCAACCAACUUAAAUGAGAAAAGCACACAUCUUCCAUUAAGAUUCAGAUUUUGUGGAAUAUCACUCUUUAAGCAUCAAAAUAGAAACGGCUAACCAAAACCAUGUCAAAAUCGUAAGACAGAGGAGAGAAGCAACACAGAUUCCAGAAGCCCUUGUGUCUGUUCCAGAUGGCACACUUUCAGUCUGAAAAUUCAUUAACAGAUCGGCAGUGUUGUUUUUUGCAUUUUGUUUCAUUUUUAAUACCCCGCACAGGUGGCUUGAUUUGUCUGUCCACAAAGGGAUUACAACCACUGAGUCAGAAAAGAACGCAGCCUUGAAUGCAUCGCCCAUGCCACCUGCCUGGCAGCUUCCAGAAAGAGAGAGCAUCAGGUCAGAGGUUCGGGGAAAUUUGAGAUUUGCAAAGGGCCGCUGCAAGAGGGAAAUGGCUCCUGCACCUUCCUAUGGCCCCGAAUGCUGCCAGCUGGCUUGGGUACUCCCAGCAUGGAAGAAGCCCAACCGGUCUUUCCUAUUUUCCAUGACACAGUUGUUGGCUUAAUCCUCCUUUUGGAGUGCCUAAUCCUCAGUUAACCACUAGUUGAGGACCUCGCUCCCACCUGGAAUGGGGAGGCAACCAAAGCACACAACUUGAUACAGUUCAAGGCAGCCAGGGACUGAUCCAAGAAAGCUAGUUUUAUAGCAGAAAAAAGUCCAUAUCUACGCAAAGAUGUCCAAAUAAGCUAAUGUUUCUAUUACCUGCCUAUAUACUUACGUGUGUGUGGAAACCUUAGAAUGCAGGAAGCCAUUUUUACUACGGGAGUCAAGAAGGAAAAAAGCUCGGCAGCACAGGUUGACCAGUGUAAACUGCGCUAUUGAUGAAAGUGUCAGAAGGGCCUUUCCUGAAUGGCUCACUUCACGGGACCUGGGACACUCAGGUACCAGCUGAUGCCCCGACAUCAAACGCGGGAGCCAGAACAUGGCAGGAAGCAGAUGGUGUCAUAUUUCCUGGGUCUCGCUGUCCAGUUGAGUUCAGCGCCUGCCAAGUGCAAAAUGAAACGUCUCUCCUUUCACAGAGCCCCGCACACACGGCAAGCUGGGGUGGUGGCUGUGGCGGCAACGGCAAGUUCAGGGGAAAGCAGGAGCCUCGGAGGCACAGACAGAGCAGAGUGGUUUGCAAGUCAGAUGCUGAGAGAGGCGAUGGAAAUUCAGUCACAGCAGAAAAAGGGAAAUGAGCCAGAAAUGUGGUUUGGAGUAAGAUGUGCUUUGCUCAGCAAAGACACUCAGCUUUAAAAGAUGAAUGGAGGAAAAAAUCGGCAUCUGGCUUGAUUGCUUAUGAAGAAAAUCCCUCUAAGUAUGAACACUUCUUUGAAGCUGUCAAGAUAAUAAUAAUGUUAAUAUUGACUACACUUUUAUUCUGCUAAGCAUGUGAAUUCCCUUAAUCCUCACAGCAACACUACAUGAGAUAAAUACUCUUCUUAAACCCAUCUACAUGUAAAGAAAUCAUGACAUAAAGAGGUUAGGUAACUUACUCUAAGUCAUAAUUAGUUACUAAUAUUUGUCAUAGAUCCAAGGAGAGAGCUAAUAAGCUAUGCUACCCUCCAUUGCUCUCUUGAAAGUACCUUACAAACCAGUGCUUAUCAAAACUCCCUAAACUUCUAGCAAAAGGAAAAGUUCAUUUCGAUCGAAGUUUAAGUGUGUGAUAUUUUUAUUUUUCAUGACUUUGAAAACUGGUGAAAGUCAUGCCUCCCUUGUUUGCUUGUUGUACUGCGUAAGAGCUUUCUCUGAUCUCACUUAAGACUUGUGGUGGUUGCACCCUUGAAGGCCCCGUUACUGCACUUUGGCUCCACUUCCCAUCUACCAUCUACCUGUUCCCACAUUGCACUGCAAUCAUUGGUGCAUUUCUCCCCAACUACUCUGUAGAUUUCUUCAGAGAGGGAUUGUGCCUUUUCUUUCUCCCCCCAGCCCCGACUCUAAUGCCUCUCUUUGUGCCCUACAGAGAUAAGGAAGAUGUAAAUUCCAAGUCAAAAGAUGGACAUAGAACCUAGAUAACCAUGCACUAUGUUUAAGGUUUUUAAACAAAUUCUAUAACCAAAUCCCUGUAAUGACAAGACAGUCUAAUGUAGUAAAAUAUGCCCAUAUAGCCAUUAAGUAAAUUUGGGUUGGAGAACUUUGAUGACUAACUAGGAGCAACUGACAAGAAAAAAAAUUAAGUCUUAUACAAAACUAUUAAUAAUUUCAGAGUUUGGGUAAUUCUCUAAAGAGGAAACAAAGAAAAUCAUGGACUCUUCAAUUAGUCUACUUUUUAAGUAUUUCCCUCUAAUGUAGUUCAAGUUUAGUUUUUUUAUUCCUCAGCUUGUGUUUUUAAAAAAAUGGGGAUGUAUUAAAAAUUUCAAGUGCUUAUUUUUUUUUAAUUUUAAUUCCAAUACUGUUAACACACCAUGUUAUAUUAUUUUCCUCUUUUCUGAGCUUUUCAGUCCCUAAGCACAGGAGUCUGACACUCACUUUUGACUAUCUGCAGGUGAUUCC
ensembl:lincRNA